rnacentral:rRNA from 1 species
AUUGAACGCUAGCGGGAUGCCUUACACAUGCAAGUCGAACGGAGUGGCGAACGGGUGAGUAAUGUCUCGGAACGUGCCCAGUAGCGGGGGAUAACUACGCGAAAGCGUAGCUAAUACCGCAUACUAUUGGAGCGGCCGAUAUCGGAUUAGCUAGUUGGUGGGGUAACGGCUCACCAAGGCGACGAUCCGUAGCUGGUUUGAGAGGAUGACCAGCCACACUGGGACUGAGACACGGCCCAGAGUCCUACGGGAGGCAGCAGUGGGGAAGUUUGGACAAUGGGGGAAACCCUGAUCCAGCCAUCCCGCGUGUGCGAUGAAGGCCUGCGGGUUGUAAAGCAAUUUUGGCAGGAAAGAGGUACCUGCAGAAUAAGCACCGGCUAACUACGUGCCAGCAGCCGCGGUAAUUC